UCUGGAAAUCUCAGAAGGUGGUGGUUAUUUUAUUUCCUGCCUGUGUUUCUUUUAACAAAUGAAGUGUCUUUGCAGGAGACUAUUGAGGGAUUUAUUGGAGAAUCUGCUGUUUUACCUUGUUCUUCUGAAGAACAUCCGAUUAAAAUUCAAGACAUAGAAGUGCUGUGGAGACACAACGGCAAGAAUGUGUAUGAGAUUAUUAAUGGUCAAGUCUCUGUGGAAGGACAGGAUCCAGAGUACAAGAACGGAACUGAAAGCUUUCCUGAGGAGUAUCUGAGCGGAAACUUCUCCAUCAAACUCAACAAUCUUCAACACACUGAUAAUGGAAAAUACAAGUGUUACAUCAUGGAGGAAUCAGUAAUCAAGAG